rnacentral:rRNA from 1 species
AGUGAACGCUGGCGGUAGGCCUAAUACAUGCAAGUCGAACGGCAGCACAGUAAGAGCUUGCUCUUACGGGUGGCGAGUGGCGGACGGGUGAGGAAUACAUCGGAAUCUACUUUUUCGUGGGGGAUAACGUAGGGAAACUUACGCUAAUACCGCAUACGACCUACGGGUGAAAGCAGGGGAUCUUCGGACCUUGCGCGAUUGAAUGAGCCGAUGUCGGAUUAGCUAGUUGGCGGGGUAAAGGCCCACCAAGGCGACGAUCCGUAGCUGGUCUGAGAGGAUGAUCAGCCACACUGGAACUGAGACACGGUCCAGACUCCUACGGGAGGCAGCAGUGGGGAAUAUUGGACAAUGGGCGCAAGCCUGAUCCAGCCAUACCGCGUGGGUAAAGAAGGCCUUCGGGUUGUAAAGCCCUUUUGUUGGGAAAGAAAAGCAGCAGGUUAAUACCCCGCUGUUCUGACGGUACCCAAAGAAUAAGCACGGGCUAACUUCGUG